rnacentral:misc_RNA from 1 species
UAGAGUUAUAAACUCCAAAACCCAUGUGUAUCUUACCAUUUGUUGCCUCGGCGGGGUUACCCUCAACCCGUAAAACCGCCGAAGGCCCCUUAAACUCUGUUUAUUUUUAGAAAUCUGAGCGUCUUAUUUAAUAAGUCA